AACGAACGCUGGCGGCAGGCUUAACACAUGCAAGUCGAACGCCCCUUUCGGGGGGAGUGGCAGACGGGUGAGUAACGCGUGGGAACGUGCCCUUCAGUUCGGAAUAACCCAGGGAAACUUGGGCUAAUACCGGAUACGUGCGAGAGCAGAAAGAUUGAUCGCUGAAGGAUCGGCCCGCGUCUGAUUAGCUGGUUGGUGAGGUAAUGGCUCACCAAGGCGACGAUCAGUAGCUGGUCUGAGAGGAUGAUCAGCCACAUUGGGACUGAGACACGGCCCAAACUCCUACGGGAGGCAGCAGUGGGGAAUAUUGGACAAUGGGCGCAAGCCUGAUCCAGCCAUGCCGCGUGAGUGAUGAAGGCCUUAGGGUUGUAAAGCUCUUUCAGUGGGGACGAUAAUGACGGUACCCGCAGAAGAAGCCCCGGCUAACUUCGUGCCAGCAGCCGCAGUAAAAC
rnacentral:rRNA from 1 species